rnacentral:lncRNA from 1 species
CUAGGGACAACUAACCGGAUCAAUUCAGCGGAAUACAAUUCACAAUUCACAAGUCCCAAUCCUUUUUCCCUCUUUGUGCAGUAAAAAACAGAAUCAAACAAUGAACAAAUAUAAUGCAACAAUCACACAAAUCAACACCAAGAUUUUUUACGUGGAAAACCCGAUGCGGGAAAAACCACGGGACCGGAGUCCACCUAAAAACUUCCACUAUCACAAAUAAUGGGUUCACAAUUGUUCUUCCUCAGAUUCAACUAAGGGCUACAACAUAUAUAUCAUCAAGAACAACUUAUUCUCGGAUUACAACAAGAUUAAAGAGAGUAAUGUUAGAGAAAAGCUCACAACACUGACAGCCCCGUUUUCUGUCAAAACGACCAGCUUCCACACCACCAAUCUUCAAUCCAACCGUUCAGAAUGAAGAGGAACGUGUCUAGAAGCUGCUGUCCAAAUCUCAGCCCGAUCCAACGGUGAACGAACUGGAAAUCGAAGAAAGAAGACAGACUGCUCUGCUGCCUCCUCUUCUUUCUUUCUCUCGGUUUUUCUCUGCUCUCUUGUUCAAAUUUGCUACUGCCUCUACAGUGGCAGUUUCAUUUUAAAUCAAAGAGGCAGCCAGCUGCCUCCUUAAUUAAUGUGGUGGUCCCCCCAUCACAUGGUGCGGGACCACACAACAAAUCUCCCCCUCACGCACCAUGUGAGGAAUUCGCCAUACUGGCGAUCAACAUGUAAGCUUCAAUUUAGGAGGCUCUGACAAGCCUGCCUCCCUUCUGCAAAACUCAAACUUCUCUCUCGGUAGAGGUUUGGUCAUCAUGUCUGACACGUUGUUAUCGGUAUGGAUCUUCUCAACAACAAAUGACUUCAUC